AACGAACGCUGGCGGCAUGCCUAACACAUGCAAGUCGAACGAGACCUUCGGGUCUCGUGGCGCUAGGGAUCGUAACGCGUGGGAACCGGCUCAUAGGUUCUGAAUAACCCCCCGAAAGGGGUGCUAAUGUCGGAAACUGUCUUCGAACCAAAGAUUUAUCGCCUUUGGGUGGGCCCGCGUUGGAUUAGCUAGUUGGUAGGGUAAAAGCCUACCAAGGCGACGAUCCAUAGCUGGUCUGAGAGGAUGAUCCGCCACACUGGGACUGAGACACGGCCCAGACUCCUACGGGAGGAAGCAGUGGGGAAUAUUGGACGAUGCGCGAAAGCCUGAGCCAGCAAUGCCGUGUGAGUGAUGAAGGCCGUAGGGUUGUAAAGCUCUUUUACACGGGAUGAUAAUGACAGUACCGGAAGAAUAAGCCCCGGCUAACUCCGUG
rnacentral:rRNA from 1 species